rnacentral:lncRNA from 1 species
UCCUAAAAACCACACACAAUUAGUUACUAGGUCGUCAAAAGAUUUUAAAACGAAUAAAAACCGGAAAAAAUGAAACCUGAAGCUACGGUCGUCGGCAGCCUUAUGAGUCCGGACAAUAUGCUCGAGACGGUACUUAGCAUGGCGAAAGUCACGACGGCGGUUAGAGAGCAUAACGGCAGAACAACCCAUCCUAAAGAAGCAAUUAGGUAUAACCAUUGACUUGUCACGUCCCACGUACCAAUUAUACCCAACCAUCUCAGUACUCACAACAACAGCAUAACUAUUAGGGUUAGACUGAAGCAUGUCACGAGCA